ACUAUUUUGGCAGAAAAGUGCAAUGGAUUUAGAAUCUAAGUAUAUAGAUUAUUAUGUUCUAUAAAUAGUA
rnacentral:tRNA from 1 species